ensembl:lncRNA
AUGCUACUCGCUGUUUAUUAUCUAUGCAUAGUCACUUCAUCCCCACCUACAUGUACACUGCUGCUACUCGCUGUUUAUUAUCUAUGCAUAGUCACUUCAUCCCCACCUACAUGUACACUGCUGCUACUCGCUGUUUAUUAUCUAUGCAUAGUCACUUCAUCCCCACCUACAUGUACACUGCUGCUACUCGCUGUUUAUUAUCUAUGCAUAGUCACUUCAUCCCCACCUACAUGUACACUGCUGCUACUCGCUGUUUAUUAUCUAUGCAUAGUCACUUCAUCCCCACCUACAUGUACACUGCUGCUACUCGCUGUUUAUUAUCUAUGCAUAGUCACUUCAUCCCCACCUACAUGUACACUGCUGCUACUCGCUGUUUAUUAUCUAUGCAUAGUCACUUCAUCCCCACCUACAUGUACACUGCUGCUACUCGCUGUUUAUUAUCUAUGCAUAGUCACUUCAUCCCCACCUACAUGUACACUGCUGCUACUCGCUGUUUAUUAUCUAUGCAUAGUCACUUCAUCCCCACCUACAUGUACACUGCUGCUACUCGCUGUUUAUUAUCUAUGCAUAGUCACUUCAUCCCCACCUACAUGUACACUGCUGCUACUCGCUGUUUAUUAUCUAUGCAUAGUCACUUCAUCCCCACCUACAUGUACACUGCUGCUACUCGCUGUUUAUUAUCUAUGCAUAGUCACUUCAUCCCCACCUACAUGUACACUGCUGCUACUCGCUGUUUAUUAUCUAUGCAUAGUCACUUCAUCCCCACCUACAUGUACACUGCUGCUACUCGCUGUUUAUUAUCUAUGCAUAGUCACUUCAUCCCCACCUACAUGUACACUGCUGCUACUCGCUGUUUAUUAUCUAUGCAUAGUCACUUCAUCCCCACCUACAUGUACACUGCUGCUACUCGCUGUUUAUUAUCUAUGCAUAGUCACUUCAUCCCCACCUACAUGUACACUGCUGCUACUCGCUGUUUAUUAUCUAUGCAUAGUCACUUCAUCCCCACCUACAUGUACACUGCUGCUACUCGCUGUUUAUUAUCUAUGCAUAGUCACUUCAUCCCCACCUACAUGUACACUGCUGCUACUCGCUGUUUAUUAUCUAUGCAUAGUCACUUCAUCCCCACCUACAUGUACACUGCUGCUACUCGCUGUUUAUUAUCUAUGCAUAGUCACUUCAUCCCCACCUACAUGUACACUGCUGCUACUCGCUGUUUAUUAUCUAUGCAUAGUCACUUCAUCCCCACCUACAUGUACACUGCUGCUACUCGCUGUUUAUUAUCUAUGCAUAGUCACUUCAUCCCCACCUACAUGUACACUGCUGCUACUCGCUGUUUAUUAUCUAUGCAUAGUCACUUCAUCCCCACCUACAUGUACACUGCUGCUACUCGCUGUUUAUUAUCUAUGCAUAGUCACUUCAUCCCCACCUACAUGUACACUGCUGCUACUCACUGUUUAUUAUCUAUGCAUAGUCACUUCAUCCCCACCUACAUGUACACUGCUGCUACUCGCUGUUUAUUAUCUAUGCAUAGUCACUUCAUCCCCACCUACAUGUACACUGCUGCUACUCGCUGUUUAUUAUCUAUGCAUAGUCACUUCAUCCCCACCUACAUGUACACUGCUGCUACUCGCUGUUUAUUAUCUAUGCAUAGUCACUUCAUCCCCACCUACAUGUACACUGCUGCUACUCGCUGUUUAUUAUCUAUGCAUAGUCACUUCAUCCCCACCUACAUGUACACUGCUGCUACUCGCUGUUUAUUAUCUAUGCAUAGUCACUUCAUCCCCACCUACAUGUACACUGCUGCUACUCACUGUUUAUUAUCUAUGCAUAGUCACUUCAUCCCCACCUACAUGUACACUGCUGCUACUCGCUGUUUAUUAUCUAUGCAUAGUCACUUCAUCCCCACCUACAUGUACACUGCUGCUACUCGCUGUUUAUUAUCUAUGCAUAGUCACUUCAUCCCCACCUACAUGUACACUGCUGCUACUCGCUGUUUAUUAUCUAUGCAUAGUCACUUCAUCCCCACCUACAUGUACACUGCUGCUACUCGCUGUUUAUUAUCUAUGCAUAGUCACUUCAUCCCCACCUACAUGUACACUGCUGCUACUCGCUGUUUAUUAUCUAUGCAUAGUCACUUCAUCCCCACCUACAUGUACACUGCUGCUACUCGCUGUUUAUUAUCUAUGCAUAGUCACUUCAUCCCCACCUACAUGUACACUGCUGCUACUCGCUGUUUAUUAUCUAUGCAUAGUCACUUCAUCACCACCUACAUGUACAAAUUUCCUCAACUAA